rnacentral:tRNA from 1 species
UAUGUUUUAGUGUACGAAGCACAAGAGAAUUUGAAUCUCUUAGAAUUAGUUUAAUUCUAUUAAAUAUAAUA